rnacentral:lncRNA from 1 species
AUGGCUUGAGGUUAUUUAUUACUAUUUUUGAGAAAGGAAGAGAUGAAAUAUGAGGGGGUUAAGUGUAUUUAAUGUAAACUAAAAUGUUUCUGAAGUGUGAUAGUGAUUAUGUAGUAGAACAACUUAAGAUCCUUGAAAUCCAGUGUGAACAGGUUAAAGAGCUCUAGGAUGGUUAAAAGUAAGGUCACAAUAAUAGAAACAAAGGUUAUGUUCUUGAGACAUUAAUUUAGGUUGAAUGAUAUAGAAUUGUCACCUUUUAAGAUAAAAAACAGUUGAAUACUGGCAAUUUCAUAUGGUCCACUUGAUAGACGUUCAGGAGGGAAGAAAUGCAGAAGUAGGGAGUGUGAAGGAAAGGGCAUAGGUCUUCAGGUGUGGUACCGUCAACCAGGGCCAUCACUUUUUAAUACUGAAUGGCUAGGCUCUUGCAGAUGUAGAUCAAACGGGACAGUCUCAGUCUUGCUGGAGCGCAGUGGUGCCAUCUCGGCUCACUGCAACCUCCACCUCCCAGGUUCAAGUGAUUCUCCCGUCUCAGUCUCCUGAGUAGCUGGGAUUACACGUGUGCGCCACCAAGCCUGGCUAAUUUUUGUAUUUCAAGUAGAGAUGGGGUUUCACCAUGGCAAUCAGGCUGGUCUCGAACUUCUGACCUCAAGUGAUCUGCCUGCCUUGGCCUCCCAAAGUGCUGGGAUUACAGGUGUGAGCCACCACGCUCAGCUAGGCUAUUUUUUUCUUUUUCAGAAGUGUUUUUUUUGCUUGUCAAAAUGGUCUGCGGACGUGCCGUCCCCACCCCCCAAAAAAGAAAGAAAAAAGACAAUUCAUGUCUCAUAUCAUUUGCCAAUUGGUAUCAAUGAAGAAACGAAUUUAACUCCUGUGGCCAAGUACUUUGCUCUCAAGGUGGCUGGACUAACACUUUGCAAAAAGGGUAUGGCGAUAGCGUAGAACAUAUCCCCACUCCUGAAAAAAAAAACAAAACAAAGUGACUUUUAUUUCCUUAAAAGUUUUUGUUGUAAAAUAGUACAUAGGUUAUACGACUCAACUUUGAAAGUGACUUUUCCACUUAAAUAUGAGACUACAAGGACUAUUAGAAGAGAUGAACCCUAUUC